UAUAAUGAAAAUUUAUAAUUUUUUUUUAUGAAAUUAUUUCAUUUUUUCUUAUAUAUUAAAAAUUUAUAUGCAUUAUAAUUUUUAUCUCAAUAAAUAAUUUAUUAUUAUAUAUAAUAUUUUUUCUUUUAAAUUGACUUUAAAUCCUGGCUCCGCACCUGGUGAUGUCCGAAUCCCUUUUCCUAAAGCAACAAAGCAGGUAAGAGUACUAGUGACAUCAAAGGUUGGAAAUUUCUUUAAAACAGAAUGAUCUGGACUUGUAGUUUAUACUUUGGGUUUACUUCUCUCCCAGGGACCCAGUCUUUCAUCUCUCAAACUUAUCCAUUAAAGCUUUCAUUUCCACUGUGCAACUGCCUUCUGUGCUAUAUGUGUUUGGUUGGAAUUGAAUAUAGCACCUUUCUUGAUUGAUCAGCAACCGUAUUCUAUUGGAACCUGCUACUGUCAUGUGAAAUUUCCUAAGAUGUGGGGAAAGAAUGGUCUUCAUUGGCUUCUGCAUUCACACUUUUUUUUUUUUUUUAAAUUGGACUCAGCUUAAUGGAUAGGAAUUGGUCCACAUAUAUCUGCCAUGGUUUUAUGCUAGGCAUAUGCAUGCAUGUUCUUCAAUUUUGUUAUGAUAGUAACUAUAGUUCAAGUUUUCAUGGGAAAUACUAAAUAUGCUCUGCUAAUGCUAUUCUGCAAGAAAAGUGACUGCUGGGAUAUUAAUUACAUGAGACAAGGCAAGGUUCAAAUUGUUCAAGCACAAUUCCAGUUUAGUUGAUCACCUAUGCAAAUUCUUUUUACAAAAGCCUGUGCACAACAUCUGGAUACCAAAUAUUUCUAUUGAAGUGGUGAUUGCUUUGAAUUUGGUAAAUUACUACCAUACUUGAAUGAAAAAAAGAGGGAAAAAUCUAAAGAAAAGGCUCUUUAUGGUCUAGGCCUGGAGAACAAGACUCUUACCAAGAAUCAAGUCAUCAGUGGAGAAAUCAGCCUCUUUCCUGUAUGUUCCUCUACCAAAGUCAAGAUUGUAAGAAUCAGCUAGGCCCUUCACCAGGUCAAAUUCAGGUUUCCAUCCAAGCACAUGUUUUGCCUUGUCAACAGAUGCAAAGAAAUGCUGCAUUACAUUGCACAGGGAUAAUUCCAUUAAUAAAAGAACAAUUUGAUUA